CCUACGGGAGGCAGCAGUGGGGAAUAUUGCACAAUGGGGGAAACCCUGAUGCAGCGACGCCGCGUGAGUGAAGAAGUAUUUCGGUACGUAAAGCUCUAUCAGCAGGGAGGAAAAUGACGGUACCUGACUAAGAAGCCCCGGCUAACUACGUGCCAGCAGCCGCGGUAAUACGUAGGGGGCAAGCGUUAUCCGGAUUUACUGGGUGUAAAGGGAGCGUAGACGGCAGCGCAAGUCUGGAGUGAAAUCCCAUGGCUUAACCAUGGAACUGCUUUGGAAACUGUGCAGCUAGAGUGCAGGAGAGGUAAGCGGAAUUCCUAGUGUAGCGGUGAAAUGCGUAGAUAUUAGGAGGAACACCAGUGGCGAAGGCGGCUUACUGGACUGUAACUGACGUUGAGGCUCGAAAGCGUGGGGAGCAAACAGGAUUAGAUACCCCUGUAGUC
rnacentral:rRNA from 1 species